rnacentral:rRNA from 1 species
UACGAAGGGGGGCUAGCGUUGCUCGGAAUCACUGGGCGUAAAGGGUGCGUAGGCGGGUUUUUAAGUCAGGGGGUGAAAUCCUGGAGCUCAACUCCAGAACUGCCUUUGAUACUGAGAAUCUUGAGUAUGGGAGAGGUGAGUGGAACUGCGAGUGUAGAGGUGAAAUUCGUAGAUAUUCGCAAGAACACCAGUGGCGAAGGCGGCUCACUGGCCCAUUACUGACGCUGAGGCACGAAAGCGUGGGGAGCAAACAGG